AGUGAACGCUGGCGGUAGGCCUAACACAUGCCAGUCGAACGGCAGCACAGUAAGAGCUUGCUCUUACGGGUGGCGAGUGGCGGACGGGUGAGGAAUACAUCGGAAUCUACUUUUUCGUGGGGGAUAACGUAGGGAAACUUACGCUAAUACCGCAUACGACCUACGGGUGAAAGCAGGGGAUCUUCGGACCUUGCGCGAUUGAAUGAGCCGAUGUCGGAUUAGCUAGUUGGCGGGGUAAAGGCCCACCAAGGCGACGAUCCGUAGCUGGUCUGAGAGGAUGAUCGGCCCAAUGGAAACUGAAACCCGUCCCAGACUCCUAGGGAAGGCAGAGGGGGGAAAAAUUGGCCAAUGGGCGCAAGCCUGAUCAAGCCGUACCGGGUGGGUGAAGAAGCCCUUCGGGUUGUAAAGCCCUUUUGUUGGAAAAAAAAGCCGGCGGGUUAUACCCCGCCUGUUCGACGGGAACCAAAAGAGAAGCAACCGCCAACUUCGUG
rnacentral:rRNA from 1 species